UUACAGCGAGUCCUGACCGACAUUCAAGUCUCAGGGGAGCCCGGGUCCCAUUAGGGGCACGUCUCCCGCCAGCCUCCGCGCCAGUUCGGGGGAAACUAAGGUGGACCGAGAGAAGAACAGGAGGAGAGUGAGUUCGUGUUUUCUUGGGAUUUUAUUUAUUUAUAUGACAGAGACAGAGCUAGAGAGAGCAGAAACACAAGCAGGGAGAGUGGGAGAGGGAGAAGCAGGCCUCCCGCCGAGCAGGGAGCCCGAUGUGGGACUCGAUCCCAGGACCCUGGGAUCAUGACCUGAGCCGAAGGCAGUUGCUUAACGACUGAGCUACCCAGGCACCCCAAGGAACCCAACCUGUGACAGCUACUCUGUGGGAUCUGAGCACCUUUCUCCUGACCACACACCCUCUCGUGCCCACCACCUGCUGCCCCUGGCUUCCCCUUGUGUGGAGACACGAGACUCCAUCGGCGCCAGCUGGUACCCACACGCUGGAAGUGCAUGGGAGUUAAUGGCUAUGUGUUAAACCUUUGAUCAAAGGGAGAUGGGAACUGGCAGAUAAAUUCUUCUCUCCUCUUUCAUGGUCCACUGUGAAGAACAGGAAUCACAUGGUCUCUCUGGGGAAGGUCCUUUAAAACUGAGCAAUUGUUUGGGUUUGAUAAUAAAUGGAUCCACCUCUAUACCUAUUGCCUUUCUUUCCCUCCACAUCCCUGUUUUGGUUUUAACUAGUGCCACUAUCACUAUCAAUUUUUAAAAAAUAAUUAUUGCAGACUGUUUAGUGUUGAAUUUCAAUGUCUUAGAGGCCCUGAUAUAUGUAUAUAGAGUAACCAUUACCUAAGCUUUCACUCUGCCAAGUAUUCCAAAUUUGAAAGUAUCAGAAAAUAGGACUAUUAUUAUUCCACUGUGAGAGAAAUACAGCCUAUAUUAAAAUGAGAAGACUUUGGGUGGGAAUGUUUUCAUAAUACAAUUUACAGCUCUUUGUGACCUUGACUGUGCAGUGUUCCACCAAAAACAUGUCACCAAAGUUCAAGUACAAGUGGCUAUAUCAUAUUUCAGUUCUAUUUCUACACUUACCUAAAAUCUAGCUAUCUGCCAAUACUGUUAUGUGUGAUUCCCAGUCAUUUUUGAUAUAUUUCAAUUUUUUUUCCUUCCUCCCCACUUGUGAUGGAUAAUUUUAUGUGUCAACUUGGCUGGGCCACAGUACUGAGACAUUAUUUUUCUGUAAAUGCACUCUUAUAUAUGAGAUUAGCAUUUAAAUCAGUAGACUUUGAGUAAAGCAGAUUACCUUCCAUAAUGUGAGUGGGCCUCAUCCAGAGAGUUGAAGGCCUUAAUAGAAAACAUAUGGCUCUUCUGAGCAAGAAGAUAUUCUGCAAGUAGACCACCACCUUUGGACUUGAACCGAGAUGCUUUCCUGAGUCUCCAGCCUGCUGUCCUACCCUGAAGAUUUUGGACUUUCCAAGUCUCCACAAACACAGAAGCCAAUUCCUUAAAAUAAAUCUCUCUCUCUAUAUAUACAUACACCCGUUGGUUCUGUUUCUCUAGAGAACCAUGACUAAUACUCCACCUAAGAGCAAAAUAAUUUAAGGUUAAAAGUCAAAUAAAUUUUAGGGCCCUUCCAAUUUUAUAUUCUGCAGUAACUUUACUUUUAACAGAUUAAUGCCCACAAAAAUGCCAAAAACAUUUUUCCCAAUCCAAUUUGGAACAGUUGGAGAAAUAAUUUCUUAGUUUUACCUCUCCAAGUUUUAUGACACACAUAUUUCCAAUACCUUUUAAUUUGUUGGUUUCCAUGAAAAGAUUUUUAACAUUAGGUCUCCAAAUAGAAAACAGUUCCAAUUUGUAUUUGUAAAACUUUUGCUUUUUUAAAAUCACCUUUUCCUAGAGAAGCCACAGAAUUUCUGACUUCAGUAUGAGGUUCUAAAGCAGGCCAAA